rnacentral:rRNA from 1 species
ACAUGCAAGUCGAACGAACGAACCUAGCUUGCUAGGUGAGUUAGUGGCAAACGGGUGAGUAACGCGUGGGAAUCUACCCAGUAGUACGGGAUAACAGUUGGAAACGAUUGCUAAUACCGUAUGGUAUCGAGAGAUUAAAGAUUUAUCGCUACUGGAUGAGCCCGCGUCAGAUUAGGUAGUUGGUGGGGUAAUGGCCUACCAAGCCCGAGAUCUGUAACUGGUCUGAGAGGAUGAUCAGUCACACUGGAACUGAGACACGGUCCAGACUCC